CAAUAGCGUAUAUUAAAGUUGUUGCAGUUAAAAAGCUCGUAGUUGGAUUUGUGGCGUACGGUGUGUUCCGGGCACUUGUUGUCUGAGUAACCUGCUGUUGCCAUCCUUGGGUGGAACCUGUGUGGCAUUAGGUUGUCGUGCAGGGGAUGCCCAUCAUUUACUGUGAAAAAAUUAGAGUGUUCAAAGCAGGCUUAUGCCGUUGAAUAUAUUAGCAUGGAAUAAUGAGAUAGGACUUUUUUGCUAUUUUGUUGGUUUGCGCAAAGAGGUAAUGAUUAAUAGGGACAGUUGGGGGUAUUCGUAUUCCAUUGUCAGAGGUGAAACUCUUGGAUUUUUGGAAGACGAACUACUGCGAAAGCAUUUACCAAGGAUGUUUUCAUUAA
rnacentral:rRNA from 1 species